GACGAACCACACGAACGUUAUUCGGAAUUACUGGGCUUAAAGGGUGCGUAGGCGGCGUAGCAAGUUGGGUGUGAAAUCCCUCGGCUCAACCGAGGAACUGCGCCCAAAACUGCUAUGCUUGAGGAAGAUAGAGGUAAGCGGAACUUACGGUGGAGCGGUGAAAUGCGUUGAUAUCGUAAGGAACACCUGUGGCGAAAGCGGCUUACUGGGUCUUUUCUGACGCUGAUGCAUGAAAGCCAGGGGAGCAAACGGG
rnacentral:rRNA from 1 species